rnacentral:siRNA from 1 species
UUGAAUUCGGGUUAUUUGAUU